rnacentral:rRNA from 1 species
UACGGGGGGGGCAAGCGUUGUUCGGAAUUACUGGGCGUAAAGGGUUCGUAGGUGGCUUGCUAAGUCAGACGUGAAAUCCCUCAGCUUAACUGGGGAACUGCGUCUGAGACUGGUGAGCUUGAGUGCAGGAGAGGAACGCGGAAUUCCAGGUGUAGCGGUGAAAUGCAUAGAGAUGACACAGAACACCGAUUGCGAAGGCAGCUCACUACGCAGUUAUUGACGCUGAGGCACGAAAGCGUGGGGAUCAAACAGG